UAUAUUUUUUUCCUCCCUCUGCUACCAGGUGUGUUGGGAAUUAAAGUGAAGAUUAUGUUACCAUUUGAUCCCAAUGGCAAGAUAGGACCUAAACGUCCUCUACCAGAUCAUGUUAGUAUUGUUGAACCAAAAGAAGAAGUAAUAGUACAGACCCCAUACAGUGAACAUAAAGGAGUUAAACCACCUGCAGAAGCUCCCCCAGUUUCAUCAUAAAGUGGGCUCCAAAAGCUGAUUUUAUGGAUAAAUAAACGAUUUGGAAGAGUUUAAAA
rnacentral:lncRNA from 1 species